UACGUAGGGUGCGAGCGUUGUCCGGAAUUAUUGGGCGUAAAGAGCUCGUAGGCGGUUUGUUGCGUCGGCUGUGAAAACCUGCGGCUUAACUGUGGGCUUGCAGUCGAUACGGGCAGACUUGAGUUCGGCAGGGGAGACUGGAAUUCCUGGUGUAGCGGUGAAUGCGCAGAUAUCAGGAGGAACACCGGUGGCGAAGGCGGGUCUCUGGGCCAGUACUGACGCUGAGGAGCGAAA
rnacentral:rRNA from 1 species